CAUCAAGGGAACUUGUCCUGCUUUGUUUGACUGAUUUCGAUGAAGCUUUUACCUAAAAUGAGAUUUUCUUUUCGUAGUUACUGGAGCUCUUUUCGUGGCAUGGGAGGGAGGGAAGAGUGAAUAUGACCCCAAGUUUCAUUUUAAUUCACCUUCAAGUGUCAUCAAGUUGCUCAAAGGCUAUAUGAGGGACUCUAUGGAAGCGAACGGAGUGGUGUGAACCAUCAAAGUGAUCAGCCUAUGGAAGUUCCAAUUACUGAAAUUUUGAUAAUUUUCAUCAAAAGUCAGCCUUGAGAACUUGACAGAGACAUGAUGAAUUUCGAAGUUCCCAGGUGUCUUUUGUUUGCCUUCGGUAACUUUGAUUUGACGAUUCCAACAAGAAAUGGAGGGAAAUGGUUCCAAAUUGGUGGCAAAUGGGUCUAAGGCAUUGAAGAGGUCAAAAGGGAUUGAUUUGACGAUUAUAUCCCUCAUAAAAUAGGGAUUUAACGGUUAUUUUGACUGAUGGACUAUUUAAGAGCAUUCAUAUUAACGUUAAGAAUCAUCAGUGAUACAAAAAACCUCUAAGGAUGUAUUCUGAUAGUUUCGCAAAUGUUAGGGACAUUUUGUGAUAAAAAGCCAAAAAUAAAUAAUGUUUGCAAACACAUUUUUACUAAAAUUCAUCCUUUUGUAG